GUUUUGUUAUUAUAGUGGUUUUUUUUUACAGUCUUGUACUUGUGUCUAUAGUAUAUGUGCCCAUAGUUUAAAUUUUAUACAAAUGAGCCUCCACACGAGCAUGCUCAGUGGGGCCCAUUAAUCUUCGAAAUAAACGUUAAUGAUAAUGUAGCAGAAAAAUAAUGAUAAACGAAAUGGGGACACGAAAAUAUGCAAACAUACAAACGCAUAAACUC